CAAACAGGGCAAGCCGUGUGUGAAUGUACCACUAUUUGAAUGGCUGCCAAUCCAUAAAUUGCCAGAGCAAGAUGGUGGAAAUGGUGUACAGUAUGGAAAAAGAAUCUACACUGAGAGCUGCUGAGCAGGAACUUGAAGCCUUGGAACUGGAACCUAAGUCCAUGCCGACUAAGAGGAUGAGAAAAACAUAGCUGGACUUUGGUGAAGAAUAUGUUGGCUCUGGUAACAAGGCAUCAGGGUCUGGGAAUCCAAAAUAGAUAGGUGGCCUGCAGGCAGCUUCACCACAUUUGGAGAAUCAGGAGCACUCACAGGCACAAUUGUAAUGGAUUAGGACUGUAAUGGAUUAGGAUGGACCCAAAGACAACCCACAACCAGGUGGAGGUGAGAAAACUUGUCUCAAUCAACACUACAACUAACCAAGAUGUUGACUGCCCCACCAAACAUGAUGGACCUGAGAGUGACGGCCCUGGGGAAACAUCAAUUUGCUCAACUUCCAG